UGCCGGAUCGUCUAAAGGUAGGACGACUGCCUCUGGAGCAGUUAAUCUUGGUUCGAGUCCAGGUCCGGCAA
rfam:Candidate division WS6 bacterium GW2011_GWF2_39_15 TT34_C0001, whole genome shotgun sequence.